GCCAGACUCCUACGGGAGGCAGCAGUGGGGGAUAUUGCACAAUGGGGGGAACCCUGAUGCAGCGACGCCGCGUGAGUGAAGACGGCCUUCGGGUUGUAAAGCUCUGUCAAUCGGGACGAAGAAGAUGACGGUACCUGACUAAGAAGCCCCGGCUAACUACGUGCCAGCAGCCGCGGUAAUACGUAGGGGGCAAGCGUUAUCCGGAUUUACUGGGUGUAAAGGGAGCGUAGACGGCGAUGCAAGCCAGAUGGGAAAGCCCGGGGCUCAACCCCGGGACUGCAUUUGGAACUGUGUGGCUGGAGUGUCGGAGAGGCAGGCGGAAUUCCUAGUGUAGCGGUGAAAUGCGUAGAUAUUAGGAGGAACACCAGUGGCGAAGGCGGCCUGCUGGACGAUGACUGACGUUGAGGCUCGAAAGCGUGGGGAGCAAACAGGAUUAGAUACCCUUGUA
rnacentral:rRNA from 1 species